AUGAGUCAUCAUGAUGGCAUCAACAUCCCUGAUGGCAAGUUCUACUUAGGAAAUGUUAGUUAUGCAUGUCGGCCUGGUGUUCUUCCACCCUUUAGGAAAACCAGGUACCAUCUGAACGAGUUCUCUGGUAGGAACUAUCCUAGGACUCCUCACGAGUUGUUCAAUCUCACACACUCCAACCUUAGAGUUCUGGUUGAGAGGGCAUUUGGAGCUCUGAAGAAUAGGUUCAAGAUCCUGGAUCAUAAGCCAUUCCACCCUUACCGUACCCAGGUCAAGCAGAAGAAGAGGAAGAGGAAGAGGAAGAGGAAGGAGGAAGAGGAAGAGGAAGAGGAAGAGGAAGAGGAAGAGGAAGAGGAAGAGGAAGAGGAAGACGAAGACGAAGACGAAGAGGAAGACGAAGACGAAGACGAAGAGGAAGACGAAGAUGAAGACGAAGACGAAGACGAAGACGAAGAAGUCAUGAAGAGGGUGAAUUUCCACCUAGUUGGCAUAAUUGAACUGUCCCCUAUUCAGCCAUAUUGGCUCUCAAUAACUUGUACUGUCAUUUGCUAG
rnacentral:rRNA from 1 species